rnacentral:misc_RNA from 1 species
GAUGAAGAACGUAGCGAAAUGCGAUACGUAAUGUGAAUUGCAGAAUUCAGUGAAUCAUCGAGUCUUUGAACGCACAUUGCGCCCCCUGGUAUUCCGGGGGGCAUGCCUGUCCGAGCGUCAUUGCUGCCCUCAAGCACGGCUUGUGUGUUGGGCCCCCGCCCCCCGGUUCCCGGGGGGCGGGCCCGAAAGGCAGCGGCGGCACCGCGUCCGGUCCUCGAGCGUAUGGGGCUUCGUCACCCGCUCCGUAGGCCCGGCCGGCGCCCGCCGGAGACCCCCCCUCAAUCUUUCCAGGUUGACCUCGGAUCAGGUAGGGAUACCCGCUGAACUUAAGCAUAUCAAUAAGCGGAGGA